ensembl:lncRNA
AUGUUGCCACCUGAGUCCUUUAUGAAGCAAGAGUCCCUCAAUAAGGAAAAUCUGGCUUCCAGCAGCCCAAGUAGCUUGAUUACCUUAUAUGGACUGACUCGAGACUAGCCAAUCAACUAAGAUGAGCCCAACUGCAGCUGAGUAGCCCCUAACGCCUUCAAUUUUGCCUCACAACUUGGAUUGAGGAGAAAGAUUUGAGAGUCUUGGCUUCUGUCUCUUUGCCGGUAGACCUUGUAAUAAAGCCUUUUCUUUUCUCAAAAGCUGGUGCCAUCGUAUUGGCUUCCGUGUACGUCAGAUAGUGAACCCUUGCCCAGUAAGUUUAGCGAUGAGCUCCCUGAUAAAAUUAAAGGUAUUCGGGUUAUUUUGGUUGACUGGAAAUAUUUUGAAAGCAUCUCCCAGUUUUGUAUAAACGCAGUCUAAGAAUCCAAUGAAGCCUCUAAGCUUUUCUCUCAAAUAUGAAUCACAAGGUUGGAUCCCUAAACGGUCCAAGUAUCCCACUGUGGAAGAUUUCUCGAUGCCAGAGUCAACUAUAAGGCACAGAACCUUGCCUAUGGAAAUCUGUUGUAUCUGCCACAAGGAUUGGAGCUUCUGAGAGAACAAAUUCAGGCCUGGUUUUCUAAUUAUGACAACAUGCAGAGGGAAAACAUCUGUGCUGUCAGAGCUGAACAGCCGCAGCGGCUCUUGAUCUGUAUCCUCUGCCCUCUUUCUUGCUGGAGCUCUGGCUCCCUAGCAACUACCUCUAGUGAUUUCUCAGUGAUCAAGUCACGUUGCAUGGAACCCUGUCCAUGAUGCCAACUGGCAAAGAGAGAUUACCACUGACCAACUAAUCAGACUAGAUGUCUACACCCUGAGCCACCAUGUUUUACCAUGUCACUAAUGAGUCUGUGAAUAGGCUAAAACUGUCCCAGUUCUUCAAAGCUCCAUAUUUUCAAGACAUGGUGAAAGAUCACUGAGAUGACUGACUGGUUGUAUUGAUGCUAUGGGUAGAGGGAGUGGAACAUUCAGGAAAAGGAAGAGCAAGCUUGAAGUCCAUGAUGCCGGAAGGUGUUUGGUGUCCUUGAAAACCGGAUAGAAGGACUUGUGGCACAUGUUCAGAAGUUUAAGAUUUAAUUCCAAGACUAAUGGGAUGCCAGCCUCUAUUGACAGGCAUUCAGUAUAUGACAUAGCUUUAAGUCACCUGUCUAUUCUGUUUUUAUCCUGUAAAAGCUCUUCCAGUUGUCAAUGAUCUUUUAAAAAUGUGACAUCUAAAUCUGAAAGCUGUGCUCCAGUUCUCCUUCUGGACAUAACAGAACAGAAUGUGAUUCUCACCAUCUUGCACUUACAGUGUCAGAACUAUGAGAGAAAUCUUUUUAUAUUUAAUUUCUUCUAGUUUGCCAUACCAGACACUUGAGAUCAUUUUGGAUUCUGAUUCUUUUAUCCCUCACAACCAAAACAGUCAGUGUCCCCCAUCAGCUUCCCACCACCUGCUGGCAUCUUUUCAUAGGUUAAAGUCAUUGAUUAAAAAAAAUUAAGUUGAAGGACCAGGUCUUACAAUGUCAUUUAAAAGUUUUUUGUGUGCUAACAUUGAUCAAUAGUUCAAUAUUGUUGGGGGCAAGACCAUUCAAAAAGUUGUAAAUUAAUCAAUUUACACUGCAACGAAGUCAUUUAUCUUCAUCUUUUUUUCAAAGACAUCAUAAGGAAACAUCAUAGAGCUUACCAUAUUGCAUAACCAUAUUAUUUAUUUUCCUGUCCUUUCCACUGAAAUGUGAGUCUAAUAGAAACUUUAAAAAGUUUACGAUGUAAUUCAU